GACGAACGCUGGCGGCGUGCUUAACACAUGCAAGUCGAGCGGAAAGGCCCUUUCGGGGGUACUCGAGCGGCGAACGGGUGAGUAACACGUGAGUAAUCUGCCCCAGGCUCUGGGAUAGCCACCGGAAACGGUGAUUAAUACCGGAUAUGACCACUUGAUGCAUGUUGGGUGGUGGAAAGUUUUUUCGGCUUGGGAUGUGCUCGCGGCCUAUCAGCUUGUUGGUGGGGUAAUGGCCUACCAAGGCUUUGACGGGUAGCCGGCCUGAGAGGGUGACCGGCCACACUGGGACUGAGACACGGCCCAGACUCCUACGGGAGGCAGCAGUGGGGAAUAUUGGACAAUGGGCGGAAGCCUGAUCCAGCAACGCCGCGUGAGGGAUGACGGCCUUCGGGUUGUAAACCUCUUUCAGUACCGACGAAGCGAGAGUGACGGUAGGUACAGAAGAAGGACCGGCCAACUACGUGCCAGCCGCCGCCGUAAAAC
rnacentral:rRNA from 1 species